GAUGAACGCUGGCGGCGUGCCUAAUACAUGCAAGUCGAGCGAACAGACGAGGAGCUUGCUCCUUCGACGUUAGCGGCGGACGGGUGAGUAACACGUAGGUAACCUACCUAUAAGACUGGGAUAACUUCGGGAAACCGGAGCUAAUACCGGAUAAUAUUUCGAACCGCAUGGUUCGAUAGUGAAAGAUGGCUUUACUAUCACUUAUAGAUGGACCUGCGCCGUAUUAGCUAGUUGGUAAGGUAACGGCUUACCAAGGCAACGAUACGUAGCCGACCUGAGAGGGUGAUCGGCCACACUGGAACUGAGACACGGUCCAGACUCCUACGGGAGGCAGCAGUAGGGAAUCUUCCGCAAUGGGCGAAAGCCUGACGGAGCAACGCCGCGUGAGUGAUGAAGGUCUUCGGAUCGUAAAACUCUGUUAUUAGGGAAGAACAAACGUGUAAGUAGCUGUGCACGUCUUGACGGUACCUAAUCAGAAAGCCACGGCUAACUACGUG
rnacentral:rRNA from 1 species